rnacentral:rRNA from 1 species
AGAGUUUGAUCCUGGCUCAGGAUGAACGCUGGCGGCGUGCUUAACACAUGCAAGUCGAACGGGCUCUUCGGAGCUAGUGGCGGACGGGUGAGUAACGCGUGAGAAUCUGCCUACAGGACGGGGACAACAGUUGGAAACGACUGCUAAUACCCGAUGUGCCGAGAGGUGAAACAUUUAUGGCCUGUAGAUGAGCUCGCGUCUGAUUAGCUAGUUGGUGGGGUAAGGGCCUACCAAGGCGACGAUCAGUAGCUGGUCUGAGAGGAUGAUCAGCCACACUGGGACUGAGACACGGCCCAGACUCCUACGGGAGGCAGCAGUGGGGAAUUUUCCGCAAUGGGCGCAAGCCUGACGGAGCAACGCCGCGUGGGGGAGGAAGGUUUUUGGACUGUAAACCCCUUUUCUCAGGGAAGAAGAAAGUGACGGUACCUGAGGAAUAAGCCUCGGCUAAUUCCGUGCCAGCAGCCGCGGUAAUACGGGUGAGGCAAGCGUUAUCCGGAAUUAUUGGGCGUAAAGCGUCCGCAGGCGGUUAAUCAAGUCUGUUGUCAAAGCGUGGGGCUCAACCUCAUACAGGCAAUGGAAACUGAUUGACUAGAGUAUGGUAGGGGUAGCGGGAAUUCCAGGUGUAGCGGUGAAAUGCGUAGAUAUCUGGAAGAACACCAGCGGCGAAAGCGCGCUACUGGGCCAUAACUGACGCUCAUGGACGAAAGCUAGGGGAGCGAAAGGGAUUAGAUACCCCUGUAGUCCUAGCCGUAAACGAUGAACACUAGGUGUUGCGUGAAUCGACCCGCGCAGUGCCGUAGCCAACGCGUUAAGUGUUCCGCCUGGGGAGUACGCACGCAAGUGUGAAACUCAAAGGAAUUGACGGGGGCCCGCACAAGCGGUGGAGUAUGUGGUUUAAUUCGAUGCAACGCGAAGAACCUUACCAGGGUUUGACAUCCCCCGAAUCUCUUGGAAACGAGAGAGUGCCUUCGGGAGCGGGGAGACAGGUGGUGCAUGGCUGUCGUCAGCUCGUGUCGUGAGAUGUUGGGUUAAGUCCCGCAACGAGCGCAACCCACGUUUUUAGUUGCCAUCAUUCAGUUGGGCACUCUAGAGAAACUGCCGGUGACAAACCGGAGGAAGGUGUGGACGACGUCAAGUCAUCAUGCCCCUUACAUCCUGGGCUACACACGUACUACAAUGCUCCGGACAGCGAGACGCGAAGCCGCGAGGUGAAGCAAAUCUCCCAAACCGGGGCUCAGUUCAGAUUGCAGGCUGCAACUCGCCUGCAUGAAGGCGGAAUCGCUAGUAAUCGCAGGUCAGCAUACUGCGGUGAAUACGUUCCCGGGCCUUGUACACACCGCCCGUCACACCAUGGAAGUUGGCCAUGCCCGAAGUCGUUACCCUAACCGUUCGCGGAGGGGGGCGCCGAAGGUAGGGCUGAUGACUGGGGUGAAGUCGUAACAAG